rnacentral:misc_RNA from 1 species
GCGCGUGGAUGCGGUACGAAAAGUAAACACAAGACUAUCGCUGCCUGUCCUUUGCCCACGCCGUUCUUCUGCUCCGUGGCUGUUCUCUCGGCGAGGGUACGCAGGCAUUGCCUUCUCUGAGCUCCUUCAGUGUCUCUCUGUGGGGGGUGGCUCUCAGCCGCGCUGCGGACGCCGCACGCGCCGCGGCAUGAGCAAGCAAGUUCUUGAAUCCCUUCCGCUGGCGAAGGGGAAGGACAUCCACAGCCGGAUAGCAAAGUUGGCACUCUACAAGGAGUGUCUCGCCCUGGCGUACCUCGUGCGCAACAAGCUGGUUCGCGAGCACACGCUGCGGGAGGUGCGUGAGAAGUGGCUCGAGCACCGCGGCGACGGUGGCCACACCCUGCAACUCCAGCUGGCCAGCUGCCUGGAUAGAAUCGCGUACGGCCGCAUGUGCCACUCAAAGGCGCGCCAGCGCCUCCUCCCUAAUGCGAGCGAAUCGUACGACUGGGGGGUGGUGAAUCCGAUGGAGAACCACGAGAAGUUGAUUCGCCGUCGAGAGGAGCGGCAAUGCCCGGACGCGUUUAACCACAGCCGCGGUAAGCGCGAUUUUGUGCCCAUGUCGAAUUGGGGCUACGGUAACAUGGACCCGGACGCGAUUGCGAAGCACAAGGAGCUGACGGACCGGCAGCACUUCAUUGGGCCCCAUUGGCGCGAUCGGCCGAGGCCGAUGGUCCUCGAGGACCUGAGCUUUGAGGAGGAGCUCUACGUUCACUUUCAAGGAAAGCCCAAGAUGCGGAAAACGCCCAAGAAGCACUUCUGAUGUCGCUGCGUGGGCGUUGGUGUGCGUGCGUGCAGCCACAGGGCCGACCCUGCACCCGUGAUCCUGCACAUCACCACGGCAGAGAAGCUCGAGGGUGGCCGAGGAGCCAUCUCGGUGCCAUGCCGCCACACGCCCUCCUCUUCGUCAGCCUUUUUGUUUUCUCUCCCUUGUGCAGGUAUUUGUUUUGUGCGUGCCUUCGCAGAGCCGAGCACCACUGACACUGCUCUCCUGCUGCGUGGUGGCACACACAGGCACACAGACGCGAACAGAUGCUGGGCACACAUCCGCAUGGCAAGACACCCUUCGCUAUUAUCCCUCAAUGCUUCUCCUGUCCUUUCAUGCGCGAUGCCCCCCUCCCCCUCCUCUCGUCACUGCAGGGCGAGAGCCGCCAGAUGAGUCGCGUGCAAGCGAGCAAGCCAUUGG